CCUACGGGAGGCAGCAGUGAGGAAUAUUGGUCAAUGGGCGGAAGCCUGAACCAGCCAAGUAGCGUGCGGGAUGAAGGCCCUACGGGUCGUAAACCGCUUUUGCACGGGGAGAAUACUCUCCACUUGUGGAGGUCUGCAGGUACCGUGCGAAUAAGGGCCGGCUAAUUCCGUGCCAGCAGCCGCGGUAAUACGGAAGGCGCGAGCGUUAUCCGGAUUCAUUGGGCUUAAAGGGAGCGUAGGCGGUCGUUUAAGUUAGCGGUAAAAUCGCGGGGCUUAACCUCGCUCGGCAGUUGAAACUGGACGACUUGAGUACACAAGAGGUAGGCGGAAUUCGUGGAGUAGCGGUGAAAUGCAUAGAUAUAACGAGGAACCCCGAUAGCGAAGGCAGCCUGCCGGGGUGCGACUGACGCUGAGGCACGAAGGUGUGGGUAGCGAACAGGAUUAGAUACCCGAGUAGUC
rnacentral:rRNA from 1 species